AUGCCCUACUCCAGGGGAUCUUCCCAAUCCAGCAUUUCCUGCAACAGAUUCCACAUGGUGGCACUACUAGUAAAGAACUGGCCUGAAAUGCAGGAGACCUAAGAGACAUGGGUUCAAUCCCUGGGUCGGGAAGAUCCCCUGAAGAAGGAAAUGUUCACAGCACAUUAAACUUCUGAAACUCAACAACAAACAAAGAAACACCUUAUGAAG